GUCCUCUCUCGGUUAUAUGUAGUGGCGGGAAAAUAUUUCAAAUAUUCAAAAUGGCUUCAAAUUUAAUGCUUCAAGAAGUCGUUUCAAUGCUUCAAAUCAAGUUUUGGACGCGAAACGGACAAGAAACGUUGCUGAAUUAUCGAAACAACGCUUGGUUGUAUUUGUUUUGUUUAAAAUGCUCGAUUUAACGAUGAAAUGGGGUUGGAAUUUGACAAUUUGCGCCAGUUUAUAAAUAUAAAUGUAGGUAUUUUACUGACACGUUGGUUGCAAGUUGCAAAUAUAUAAACAUGUUAUUGAUUUGUGCUUGCUCGGUUCUGAUUUUACCGCUGUAGUUAGUUAAGUUCAAAUUACAGGGUAUUCAUUCAUUUCAAUAUAUAGGGAUUGAUAAAGUAUCACAUUACAAGAAUAAAGAAUAAGAUGCAUUAAUUUUAUAAUAAUGGUCAAGUGGAUGCAUAUGAACCUGGAUUUUCAAGUCUGAGGUCACUCAG
rnacentral:lncRNA from 1 species